rnacentral:rRNA from 1 species
UAUGGAGGGUGCAAGCGUUAUCCGGAUUCACUGGGUUUAAAGGGUGCGUAGGUGGGCAGGUAAGUCAGUGGUGAAAUCUCCGGGCUUAACCCGGAAACUGCCAUUGAUACUAUUUGUCUUGAAUACUGUGGAGGUCAGCGGAAUAUGUCAUGUAGCGGUGAAAUGCUUAGAUAUGACAUAGAACACCAAUUGCGAAGGCAGCUGGCUACACAAAUAUUGACACUGAGGCACGAAAGCGUGGGGAUCAAACAGG